rnacentral:rRNA from 1 species
GGUUAAGCGACUAAGCGUACACGGUGGAUGCCCUGGCAGUCAGAGGCGAUGAAGGACGUGCUAAUCUGCGAAAAGCGUCGGUAAGGUGAUAUGAACCGUUAUAACCGGCGAUGUCCGAAUGGGGAAACCCAGUGCAAUUCGUUGCACUAUCGUUAACUGAAUACAUAGGUUAACGAGGCGAACCGGGGGAACUGAAACAUCUAAGUACCCCGAGGAAAAGAAAUCAACCGAGAUUCCCCCAGUAGCGGCGAGCGAACGGGGAGCAGCCCAGAGUCUGAAUCAGCUUGUGUGUUAGUGGAACGGUCUGGAAAGUCCGACGGUACAGGGUGAUAGUCCCGUACACCAAAAUGCACAGGUUGUGAACUCGAAGAGUAGGGCGGGACACGUGGUAUCCUGUCUGAAUAUGGGGGGACCAUCCUCCAAGGCUAAAUACUCCUGACUGACCGAUAGUGAACCAGUACCGUGAGGGAAAGGCGAAAAGAACCCCGGCGAGGGGAGUGAAAAAGAACCUGAAACCGUGUACGUACAAGCAGUGGGAGCACCUUCGGGUGUGACUGCGUACCUUUUGUAUAAUGGGUCAGCGACUUAUAUUCUGUAGCAAGGUUAACCGUAUAGGGGAGCCGCAGGGAAACCGAGUCUUAACUGGGCGUUAAGUUGCAGGGUAUAGACCCGAAACCCGGUGAUCUAGCCAUGGGCAGGUUGAAGGUUGGGUAACACUAACUGGAGGACCGAACCGACUAAUGUUGAAAAAUUAGCGGAUGACUUGUGGCUGGGGGUGAAAGGCCAAUCAAACCGGGAGAUAGCUGGUUCUCCCCGAAAGCUAUUUAGGUAGCGCCUCGUGAACUCAUCUUCGGGGGUAGAGCACUGUUUCGGCUAGGGGGUCAUCCCGACUUACCAACCCGAUGCAAACUACGAAUACCGAAGAAUGUUAUCACGGGAGACACACGGCGGGUGCUAACGUCCGUCGUGAAGAGGGAAACAACCCAGACCGCCAGCUAAGGUCCCAAAGUCAUGGUUAAGUGGGAAACGAUGUGGGAAGGCACAGACAGCCAGGAUGUUGGCUUAGAAGCAGCCAUCAUUUAAAGAAAGCGUAAUAGCUCACUGGUCGAGUCGGCCUGCGCGGAAGAUGUAACGGGGCUAAACCAUGCACCGAAGCUGCGGCAGCGACACUAUGUGUUGUUGGGUAGGGGAGCGUUCUGUAAGCCUGCGAAGGUGUGCUGUGAGGCAUGCUGGAGGUAUCAGAAGUGCGAAUGCUGACAUAAGUAACGAUAAAGCGGGUGAAAAGCCCGCUCGCCGGAAGACCAAGGGUUCCUGUCCAACGUUAAUCGGGGCAGGGUGAGUCGACCCCUAAGGCGAGGCCGAAAGGCGUAGUCGAUGGGAAACAGGUUAAUAUUCCUGUACUUGGUGUUACUGCGAAGGGGGGACGGAGAAGGCUAUGUUAGCCGGGCGACGGUUGUCCCGGUUUAAGCAUGUAGGCUGGUUAUCCAGGCAAAUCCGGAUAAUCAAGGCUGAGGUGUGAUGACGAGGCACUACGGUGCUGAAGUAACAAAUGCCCUGCUUCCAGAAAAAGCCUCUAAGCAUCAGGUAACAUCAAAUCGUACCCCAAACCGACACAGGUGGUCAGGUAGAGAAUACCAAGGCGCUUGAGAGAACUCGGGUGAAGGAACUAGGCAAAAUGGUGCCGUAACUUCGGGAGAAGGCACGCUGGUGUGUAGGUGAAGUCCCUGCGGAUGGAGCUGAGACCAGUCGAAGAUACCAGCUGGCUGCAACUGUUUAUUAAAAACACAGCACUGUGCAAACACGAAAGUGGACGUAUACGGUGUGACGCCUGCCCGGUGCCGGAAGGUUAAUUGAUGGGGUUAUCCGUAAGGAGAAGCUCUUGAUCGAAGCCCCGGUAAACGGCGGCCGUAACUAUAACGGUCCUAAGGUAGCGAAAUUCCUUGUCGGGUAAGUUCCGACCUGCACGAAUGGCGUAAUGAUGGCCAGGCUGUCUCCACCCGAGACUCAGUGAAAUUGAACUCGCUGUGAAGAUGCAGUGUACCCGCGGCAAGACGGAAAGACCCCGUGAACCUUUACUAUAGCUUGACACUGAACAUUGAGCCUUGAUGUGUAGGAUAGGUGGGAGGCUUUGAAGCGUGGACGCCAGUCUGCGUGGAGCCAACCUUGAAAUACCACCCUUUAAUGUUUGAUGUUCUAACGUUGGCCCCUGACCGGGGUUGCGGACAGUGUCUGGUGGGUAGUUUGACUGGGGCGGUCUCCUCCCAAAGCGUAACGGAGGAGCACGAAGGUUAGCUAAUCCUGGUCGGACAUCAGGAGGUUAGUGCAAUGGCAUAAGCUAGCUUGACUGCGAGCGUGACGGCGCGAGCAGGUGCGAAAGCAGGUCAUAGUGAUCCGGUGGUUCUGAAUGGAAGGGCCAUCGCUCAACGGAUAAAAGGUACUCCGGGGAUAACAGGCUGAUACCGCCCAAGAGUUCAUAUCGACGGCGGUGUUUGGCACCUCGAUGUCGGCUCAUCACAUCCUGGGGCUGAAGUAGGUCCCAAGGGUAUGGCUGUUCGCCAUUUAAAGUGGUACGCGAGCUGGGUUUAGAACGUCGUGAGACAGUUCGGUCCCUAUCUGCCGUGGGCGCUGGAGAAUUGAGGGGGGCUGCUCCUAGUACGAGAGGACCGGAGUGGACGCAUCACUGGUGUUCGGGUUGUCAUGCCAAUGGCACUGCCCGGUAGCUAAAUGCGGAAGAGAUAAGUGCUGAAAGCAUCUAAGCACGAAACUUGCCCCGAGAUGAGUUCUCCCUGAGACUUUAAGUCUCCUGAAGGAACGUUGAAGACGACGACGUUGAUAGGCCGGGUGUGUAAGCGCAGCGAUGCGUUGAGCUAACCGGUACUAAUGAACCGUGAGGCUUAACCUU